rnacentral:rRNA from 1 species
GAGUUUGAUCAUGGCUCAGAACGAACGCUGGCGGCAUGCCUAACACAUGCAAGUCGAACGAAGUCUUCGGACUUAGUGGCGCACGGGUGAGUAACGCGUGGGAAACUGCCUAUUGGUGGGGAAUAACGACGGGAAACUGUCGCUAAUACCGCAUAAGCCCUUCGGGGGAAAGAUUUAUCGCCGAUAGAUGUGCCCGCGUCCGAUUAGCUAGUUGGUGAGGUAAUGGCUCACCAAGGCUACGAUCGGUAGCUGGUCUGAGAGGAUGAUCAGCCACACUGGGACUGAGACACGGCCCAGACUCCUACGGGAGGCAGCAGUGGGGAAUAUUGGACAAUGGGCGAAAGCCUGAUCCAGCAAUGCCGCGUGAGUGAUGAAGGCCUUAGGGUUGUAAAGCUCUUUCGGGUGGGACGAUGAUGACGGUACCACCAGAAGAAGCCCCGGCUAACUUCGUGCCAGCAGCCGCGGUAAUACG